GAAAAAUUGGAGAAUUGAAGCUUGAAAGUUAAAUUGCAAACAAAGGAACCGAGGCAUCCAAUACAAAGGGGAAAGAGAAAGUAGUCGAGGAAUAGCUCGGGGGAAAAUCGAUUUGUAUUAUCAUAAUUCAUAGUAUUUAUUAUUGCAUAUUUAAUUGUAAUAUAUAUAUAUAUAUAUAUAUAUAUAUGAAUGUGCGUGAAAAUGACUUGAAUGAGAAUUGUUGAUUAGUUGUGAUUACAUUGAGAAAUAUAAGAGAA